CAGCCGCCGCGGUAAUACGUAGGUGGCAAGCGUUGUCCGGAAUUAUUGGGCGUAAAGGGCUCGCAGGCGGUUUCUUAAGUCUGAUGUGAAAGCCCCCGGCUCAACCGGGGAGGGUCAUUGGAAACUGGGAAACUUGAGUGCAGAAGAGGAGAGUGGAAUUCCACGUGUAGCGGUGAAAUGCGUAGAGAUGUGGAGGAACACCAGUGGCGAAGGCGACUCUCUGGUCUGUAACCGACGCUGAGGAGCGAAAGCGUGGGGAGCGAACAGGAUUAGAUACCCCGGUAGUCCCUGUCUCUUAUAC
rnacentral:rRNA from 1 species